GAUCGCUAGUGAUGCGGGUGGUUCGCCGCCCGUGACUCUGCGAGAAGUCCAUUGAACCUUAUCAUUUAGAGGAAGGAGAAGUCGUAACAAGGUUUCCGUAGGUGAACCUGCGGAAGGAUCAUUGUCGAGAUUGAAAUACAUCGAGUGAUUUAGAGAAUUUGUCAAAAUAAGCGGUCGUUAUUAUAUCCGCUAUAAAAUUCAUCCCAUUCAUCACCUCAUCCCUUUGAGGCAAGGUUGUGAAUGGGAGUGAUUAAACACUCAAACCGGCGUAACAUCGCGCCAAGGUAUAUAACCAAAAUUGAGACCUUGAAUGGGUUUUGUGGCAUGACUCUCGGCAAUGGAUAUCUCGGCUCUCACAUCGAUGAAGAGCGCAGCGAAAUGCGAUACGUGGUGCGAAUUGCAGAAUCCCGCGAACCAUCGAGUCUUUGAACGCAAGUUGCGCCUGAGGCCAAACAGCCAAGGGCACGUUUGCCUGGGCGUCAAGCAUUGUGUCACUCCGAGUCAAUACCAUCCCAUCGAUGGAUGUGCUGGCAAAGGCUUGGAUGUGCAGGCUGGCUCAUCGUUCCCAUUAGAGCGGUGUGCUGAAGAGUUAGUCAUCAUCUCAUUGGCUGCGAAUAGUAAGGGGUGGGUUUAAAACGAGUCCUAUUAUUAUCUCGUGUAUGCUUGAGGAAAGAUUAUAUAUUUUCAAGUUAUCCAAAAUUAUGCGCCGAUUCAUGGAUGACAUUUUGAAUGCGACCCCAGGAUGGGCGGGGCCACCCGCUGAGUUUAAGCAUAUCAAUAAGCGGAGGAGAAGAAACUUACGAGGAUUCCCCGUUUAAGCAUAUCAAUAAGCGGAGGAGAAGAAACUUACGAGGAUUCCCC
rnacentral:rRNA from 1 species